rnacentral:rRNA from 1 species
UACGUAGGGUGCAAGCGUUGUCCGGAAUUAUUGGGCGUAAAGAGCUCGUAGGCGGUCUGUCGCGUCGAAUGUGAAAACCCGGGGCUCAACCCCGGGCCUGCAUUCGAUACGGGCAGACUAGAGUGCGGUAGGGGAGACUGGAAUUCCUGGUGUAGCGGUGAAAUGCGUAGAUAUCAGGAGGAACACCGGUGGUGCAGACGGCUCUCUGGACCGUAACUGACGCUGAGACACGAAAGCGUGGGUAGCAAACAGG